UACGGAGGGGGCAAGUGUUGUCCAUCUUGAUUGGGCGUAAAGGACAUGUAGGCGGUUUUCUUAACCAAUGGAUGAGAACAAAAACUCGAGGAAACGACGAGGGAGGUCCUGCGGAAUUAAACUAGAGUUAGACUCAGGAAUUUAACAUCUUCAGAGAAACGGUAAAAUGUGUCGAGACUGAAGAGGGUGCCAUUUGGUGAAAGCAAAUACCCAGAGCUGACUGACGUUGAGAUGUGAAAGCGUGGGUAGCGAAUAGG
rnacentral:rRNA from 1 species